UCCCUGGAACAAACCAAAAAUUCAUUUUUCUCUUAGUAAAUUCUAUCAGCCUACUUAAAUGAUCGAACGUGUAAGUACAUCAUUUAUAUUCAGGAUCUAAACACAUUGGGUGUCUGAAGAAGAGGGUCCUCUCAUGGACCAUUCCUUAUGACUUCCUUCCUCUGCCAUAACAAACAUGUCACAUGGGUGAAGUUUUAAUUAGGGAAAAAAGGCAUAUGAGAACAAAGUGCAGCAACAAAACAUUUAUGUAUUGGACUACAAAUUAUCUUAAAAUGAAAUAUUUUUUUUCUUUAUGCAAGAGGGAAACUCAGUAUUUGGUUGAAUCUGGUUGUGUUCUAAUUGUCUAAAUGUCUUUUAGCUUCACACCAGUGAGAUGAAUGAUGGAUAUGAUUGGGGUCGACUCAACCUGAAGUCUGUCACAGAGCAGAGCUCUCUGGACAACUUUCUGGCCACAGCUGAACUUGCUGGAACUGAAUUUGUUGCAGAGAAGCUGAAUAUAUAGUUCGUCCCAGCUGAGGUGAGGGCCGGCUUGCUUUCUGCUGAGGAGUCCACACACGGCCAAAGAAACUCCACGAGGAUAACAAACAGUUGUUACGAAUUCCCCGAAGAUGGACAGUCAUGGAGCAGCUCAUGUAUUCAGCGUUGUGUUCUGUCACUGCAGGCAUCCUUGGGACAAGAGCACAAGCCCCGAGGUCCUGCAGCAAAACGAGAGGGACAGUUUCUUGACUGUCCUAUUAUUUUAAAUUCGAACUGUGAACUUUUCCAUGUUUGGUGAUUAAGGGAGAUGAAGGACCAAGAGGAUCAGAGUCAUCCAGAACAGGAAGCAACAUCCAAAAAUGUCACAGAUCUUUAUUUGGAGCAUCGCACUCCAACAACUGAAGAGAAAGAUGAGAGUGUGCAGGAAGAAGAAGAGGAAACUGAAGAAGCAAGAGUCUGUGUUGAUGAAAGUGAAUGGCAGACAAGCUCUGAGGAAUCAUUAGACGUAGGUCAUGCUGAGGAGAAACCAGAAUCCACAGCGGUUUCAUCUUUCUACAACUCAAGCUGUUUGCUACGUCAAAAUGAGCUGCUGUGUGUUCUGGGCCAACAUGUAAAGCUGGUCAAAUCACAGUUGGAUUGGUGGAUCUGCCGGAAAUUCCUCAUUGUUUAAAAUAUCACUCAUAAUAACAAACAUGGGUUCCCACGGGUCCUCGAAAUCCUUGAAAGUUUGUGAAUCUGACAUUUUUUUUUCAAGGCCCUGGGAAUUUUUUUAAAAUAAACAUACAUUGAUACAGGUCCUUGAAAGUGCUUGAAUUUAUUUUAUUUUAAGUUUUUUGGAAAAAAUAAAAUUGUAUUCCUUCUGUUCCA